UUGCUUGCUUUGGCAGCAAAUAUGCUAAAAUGGGAAUGAAUCAGAGAAGAUUAGCAUCGCCCACACUAAAGGAUGACAUGCAAAUUCAUGUAGAGUUUCGUAUUUUU
rnacentral:snRNA from 1 species